GGAAAUGAAUCCUUAAAUCAAAUAAUAUCAACAAAGGCCCCGGAAAGGAAACACUUCGGAGGCAGUUCUUCACUGAAUUUCCGAGUGACAUCGGGUAUACCACAAAAGAAUGUCGGAAGGAAAUAUUUAUUAGAGAGCACAAUGCUUACAUUGUCCAGAUCGCGGCAUUAUAUGGAGAAGAAUGUUUUGAACUCUACAUCUUACCGCUGAAGGAACUAAAACCCAAUGGCAUCAAAAGCAACCCAUCUUACUGUACAAAGUAAUAAAUUGUAUCACAGAAACGAAACACUGACGAAAGCAGAUAUUUUAAAGACAGCCAGAUUACUACGAGUCUGGUGCCGUACUACUUUUGUUAAUGGUUACGUUCCCACUAGUAGGACACUAAGUAGC